CAAAGCUUUCAGUGCAUGCCGACCAAGCUAUGAUUUCAGAUGGAAACCAUGUAAUGUGUGGUCAUUUGUACCCCCAAACCAUGUAAAGCCUGGCAACCUGGUUGAUGUUUUGCUUUCCGUUGGAUUUGGAGAGGUUCAUAGAGAAUGAACUGCAAGUGCGGUGGUGAUGGGGAACCUCAGAUUUCACAUGCAUAUCAAAUUCACUGUUGGAGAAAAAUUGUAAGUACUACUUCUUAAAUGAUUCUGUGGGAGAGUGAGCCAUUAUUGUAUUGGUAUUUCUAUACCCUAAGUAUAUUCUAUAACUAUUAUUUGAUAUCUCAUCUGCCUAAUAUUUAAUACAAAACAUUAAAAAAUCAAGAUAACAAUAUCAAUGGAAGGCAUGAAUUAAACUGUCCAGUGAGGUGUCAUAGAGUUGCACAUCCUGUUGCUG
rnacentral:lncRNA from 1 species